rnacentral:rRNA from 1 species
AUUGAACGCUGGCGGCAGGCUUAACACAUGCAAGUCGAACGAGUGGCGGACGGGUGAGUAAUGCCUGGGAAUCUGGCUUAUGGAGGGGGAUAACGACGGGAAACUGUCGCUAAUACCGCGUACCAUAGGAUGAGCCCAAGUGGGAUUAGGUAGUUGGUGGGGUAAUGGCCUACCAAGCCGACGAUCUCUAGCUGGUCUGAGAGGAUGACCAGCCACACCGUGACUGAGACACGGCCCGGACUCCUACGGGAGGCAGCAGUGGGGAAUAAUGCGCAAUGGGAGCAACCUGCCGCAGCCAUGCCGCGUGAAUGAAGAAGGCCUUCGGCUUUUAAAGUUCUUUAGGUGAAGAGGCGUUAAUCACAGAAGAAGAACCGGCUAACUCCGUGCCAGCAGCCGCGGUAAUUC